CUAUCCUACGGGGGGCAGCAGUGAGGAAUAUUGGUCAAUGGACGCAAGUCUGAACCAGCCAUGCCGCGUGCAGGAAGACGUCUCUAUGAGUUGUAAACUGCUUUUGUACGAGGGAAAAUACCGAGACGAGUAUAGGGUUGAAAGUAUCGUACGAAUAAGGAUCGGCUAACUCCGUGCCAGCAGCCGCGGUAAUACGGAGGAUUCACGCGUUAUCCGGAUUUAUUGGGUUUAUAGGGUGCGUAGGCGGUUAG
rnacentral:rRNA from 1 species